UCGGGAAUUUUGGGCAAUGGGCGAAAGCCUGACCCAGCAACGCCGCGUGAGGGAUGAAGUAUUUCGGUAUGUAAACCUCGAAAGAAUGGGAAGAAUAAAUGACGGUACCAUUUAUAAGCUCCGGCUAACUACGUGCCAGCAGCCGCGGUAAUACGUAGGGAGCAAGCGUGUUUCGGAUUUACUGGGCGUAAAGGGCGCGUAGGCGGCGCAGUAAGUCACUUGUGAAAUCUCUGAGCUUAACUCAGAACGGCCAAGUGAUACUGCUGUGCUAGAGUGCGGAAGAGGCAACCGGAAUGCUUUGUGUAGCGGUGAAAUGCGUAAAAAUCAAGAGGAAAACCGGAGUCGAAGGCGGGUUGCUGGGGCGACACUGACGCUGAUGCGCGAAA
rnacentral:rRNA from 1 species